rnacentral:misc_RNA from 1 species
AAGUCGUAACAAGGUUUCCGUAGGUGAACCUGCGGAAGGAUCAUUAACACGUAUCCAAACGUUAAACCCCCCCCGUGAACCUUCAUCGUGCUCUAGUGGGCCACUGAUAAACACAGCAAUUCCUGGUAAAUCAUUGUCUGAACAAGCCUUUGAGUCAGGAACCUCUGUGCAGUGCGAGCUACACCCACUAUAGAAGCGCUAGUUCCAUCGGCAUUGUUUCCCCAAGCAGCCAGUGCGUGAAAGUGGCAACUGACUGUGCAAGGAUAACGCUUAACGAUUUUGCAGCCGCAACACGCGGGCAGAGCUUUGCCAAAGGGUCCCCAUGCCCCCUAAUAACCCCACAGUUUAAUGUGAAGCUCAGUGUAAUACAUUGGGUAAAAAAACCGAACAACUGUUAACAAUGGAUAUCUUGGUUCCC